UGCAAAGUCACCCAGGAAAAAUGUGAGGAGUUGGACAAAUUUCUCUGUGACAAUCACACCUCCCAGUAUCUCCACACUCAUUGCCAUAUGGAGAAAUGUGGACUAACUUUGGUCGGAGAUUCUACCACCACAACAGCAACACCAACAACAUAGCUGAAAGGUUCUUUCUCUCUUUGAAAUACCAAUUCCUUAGGGGAAAACCCAACAAGAGGGUAGAUCAGCUGCUGAGACUCCUGUACAGUGAUGUCCAAGACAAUUACAGUUACCUAGAUCACCUGACACAGAUCAGACGCAUGAAACCUGCCAGGAAGGACCCCUUCCACUGAAGCUGCAGAGAUGAUGAGGAAUGGAGUGAUGGCCUGGUGAUUGACCGCAAUGGCACCUGUAGUGUUCCUUCUCAGUCCAAUCCACAACAUUACCUGGUUGAUCUUGUGAACUUCACAUGUGUGUGCAGAGCCUCUUAGUCAGGAAAUGUGUGCAAGCACAUACCCUUUGCAAACGUGCUGUUGGUCAGAGGUCAGUCAGUGAAUGAAAUAUGGCAAAAACGUGCUCAGGUUAUAGUGGAGAAGUCAUACCUGCUGAUAGAGCAGUCUAACUGUAUUUUGGGGUAAUGGUAGUCCUGGUGUUGUCAAUCUGGAGAAUGGUUAUUAUUCAUGUAACACCAGCAGCUUUGGGCAAAAGUCUGUCUGUCAACAUGUUUAUCACAUGAUAACAGAGGAGCAAACUGAAAAUGAGGUAGCUACAUCAAUUGAAGCAGGACCACCAAGCACUUCUUCAGCAACAGCCCCCACCACUGCAAACACACUGAUAUGCAGACCAUGCUUGUUGAACUUCACCAGUGGAGCACCUCUUCUCAGUACAUGGAGACAACAGAGGUGUGCAACUCUGUAGAGAGAGCCUACAUGAUUGCCUUUGGUAAAUGUCCCUCUUGCACAUCAGCCUGCAGAAUCACACCUCUACAUCCAUACAGACAGAGAAUACACGGACAAAACACAGCAGGGGGUCAUGCAUAUGCCAGUAUCCAUGGUCAGAGAAAGAGGGCUGUUAACACAGACACAUUUGUCAGGGUAAAAUGAAGGAGAAAGGGACUAAGAAAAUAAAUACAUGCAGUGAAUACUAUGAAGCACACACACCUUUUUCACAUACAAAUUUGAGUGCAGGAAUGUGGUAAUCUACUGCACUUUGAGUUAAUAACAUCCGAGCAAUUCAGCCUCUUUCAUUUGUUCCCACUUUGUAUAUAGUAAGACAUA